UACAGAGGUCUCAAGCGUUGUUCGGAUUCAUUGGGCGUAAAGGGUGCGUAGGUGGCGCCGUAAGUGGGGUGUGAAAUUUCGGAGCUUAACUCCGAAACUGCAUUCCAUACUGCGGUGCUUGAGGACUGGAGAGGAGACUGGAAUUCAUGGUGUAGCAGUGAAAUGCGUAGAGAUCAUGAGGAAGACCAGUGGCGAAGGCGGGGUCUCUGGACAGUUCCUGACACUGAGGCACGAAGGCUAGGGGAGCGAACGGG
rnacentral:rRNA from 1 species